UCUCAAAGAUUAAGCCAUGCAUGUCUAAGUAUAAGCAAUUAUACCGUGAAACUGCGAAUGGCUCAUUAAAUCAGUUAUCGUUUAUUUGAUAGUACCUUACUACUUGGAUAACCGUGGUAAUUCUAGAGCUAAUACAUGCUGAAAACCCCAACUUCGGGAGGGGUGUAUUUAUUAGAUAAAAAACCAACGCCCUUCGGGGCUUCUUGGUGAUUCAUGAUAACUUCACGGAUCGCAUGGCCUUGCGCCGGCGACGGUUCAUUCAAAUUUCUGCCCUAUCAACUUUCGAUGGUAAGGUAUUGGCUUACCAUGGUUUCAACGGGUAACGGGGAAUUAGGGUUCGAUUCCGGAGAGGGAGCCUGAGAAACGGCUACCACAUCCAAGGAAGGCAGCAGGCGCGCAAAUUACCCAAUCCCGACACGGGGAGGUAGUGACAAUAAAUACUGAUACAGGGCUCUUUUGGGUCUUGUAAUUGGAAUGAGUACAAUUUAAACCUCUUAACGAGGAACAAUUGGAGGGCAAGUCUGGUGCCAGCAGCCGCGGUAAUUCCAGCUCCAAUAGCGUAUAUUAAAGUUGUUGCAGUUAAAAAGCUCGUAGUUGAAACUUGGGCCUGGCUGGCAGGUCCGCCUCACCGCGUGUACUUGUCCGGCCGGGCCUUUCCUUCUGGAGAACCUCAUGCCCUUCACUGGGUGUGUUGGGGAACCAGGACUUUUACUUUGAAAAAAUUAGAGUGUUCAAAGCAGGCCUUUGCUCGAAUACGUUAGCAUGGAAUAAUAGAAUAGGACGUGCGGUCCUAUUUUGUUGGUUUCUAGGACCGCCGUAAUGAUUAAUAGGGACAGUCGGGGGCAUCAGUAUUCAAUUGUCAGAGGUGAAAUUCUUGGAUUUAUUGAAGACUAACUACUGCGAAAGCAUUUGCCAAGGAUGUUUUCAUUAAUCAGUGAACGAAAGUUAGGGGAUCGAAGACGAUCAGAUACCGUCGUAGUCUUAACCGUAAACUAUGCCGACUAGGGAUCGGGCGAUGUUCUUUUUCUGACUCGCUCGGCACCUUACGAGAAAUCAAAGUUUUUGGGUUCUGGGGGGAGUAUGGUCGCAAGGCUGAAACUUAAAGGAAUG
rnacentral:rRNA from 1 species